rnacentral:tRNA from 1 species
GGGGUUGUAGCUCAGUUGAUAGAGCGCUCGCCUUGCAAGCGAGAGGUCACGGGUUUGAGUCCCGUUAGCUCCACCA